rnacentral:rRNA from 1 species
ACCCCACUGCUAUCGGGAUAGGACUAAGACAUGCUAGUCGAGCGCUUCGAGCCAAAAAGAGGCGCGGCAUACAGCUCAGUAACACGUGGCUAAUCUGCCCUUGGGAUAGGAACACCCCCGGAAAACUGGGGCUAAUUCCCAAUAGGCGAAGAACUCUGGAAUGAGUCUUUACCAGAAAAGACGCUUGCGUUAUGCUCGUAAGUGUCGCCCAAGGAUGAGGCCGCGACCGAUCAGGUUGUUGGUGAGGUAAUGGCUCACCAAGCCUUUUACCGGUGCGGGCCGUGAGAGCGGGAGCCCGGAGAUGGGCACUGAGACAAGGGCCCAGGCCCUACGGGGCGCAGCAGUCGCGAAAACUUUGCAAUAAGCGAAAGCUUGACAGGGCUAUCCCGAGUGCCAUCCGCUGAGGAAGGCUUUUACCCAGUCUAGAACGCUGGGGGAAUAAGGAGAGGGCAAGUCUGGUGUCAGCCGCCGCGGUAAUACCAGCUCUCCGAGUGGUGUGGAUGUUUAUUGGGCCUAAAGCAUCCGUAGCUGGCUAGGUUAGUCCCCUGUUAAAUCCACCGAAUUAAUCGUUGGAUUGCGGGGGAUACUGCUUGGCUAGGGGACGAGAGAGGCAGACGGUAUUUCCGGGGUAGGGGUGAAAUCCUAUAAUCCCGGGAAGACCACCAGUGGCGAAGGCUGUCUGCUAGAACGCGCCCGACGGUGAGGGAUGAAAGCUGGGGGAGCGAACCGGAUUAGAUACCCGGGUAGUCCCAGCUGUAAACGAUGCAGACUAGGUGUUUGGACGGCCACGUGCCGUUCUAGUGCCGCAGGGAAGCUGUUAAGUCUGCCGCCUGGGGAGUACGAUCGCAAGAUUGAAACUUAAAGGAAU